GCCCCGGUAAACGGCGGCCGUAACUAUAACGGUCCUAAGGUAGCGAAAUUCCUUGUCGGGUAAGUUCCGACCUGCACGAAUGGCGUAAUGAUGGCCAGGCUGUCUCCACCCGAGACUCAGUGAAAUUGAACUCGCUGUGAAGAUGCAGUGUACCCGCGGCAAGACGGAAAGACCCCGUGAACCUUUACUAUAGCUUGACACUGAACAUUGAGCCUUGAUGUGUAGGAUAGGUGGGAGGCUUUGAAGUGUGGACGCCAGUCUGCAUGGAGCCGACCUUGAAAUACCACCCUUUAAUGUUUGAUGUUCUAACGUUGGCCCGUAAUCCGGGUUGCGGACAGUGUCUGGUGGGUAGUUUGACUGGGGCGGUCUCCUCCUAAAGAGUAACGGAGGAGCACGAAGGUUGGCUAAUCCUGGUCGGACAUCAGGAGGUUAGUGCAAUGGCAUAAGCCAGCUUGACUGCGAGCGUGACGGCGCGAGCAGGUGCGAAAGCAGGUCAUAGUGAUCCGGUGGUUCUGAAUGGAAGGGCCAUCGCUCAACGGAUAAAAGGUACUCCGGGGAUAACAGGCUGAUACCGCCCAAGAGUUCAUAUCGACGGCGGUGUUUGGCACCUCGAUGUCGGCUCAUCACAUCCUGGGGCUGAAGUAGGUCCCAAGGGUAUGGCUGUUCGCCAUUUAAAGUGGUACGCGAGCUGGGUUUAGAACGUCGUGAGACAGUUCGGUCCCUAUCUGCCGUGGGCGCUGGAGAACUGAGGGGGGCUGCUCCUAGUACGAGAGGACCGGAGUGGACGCAUCACUGGUGUUCGGGUUGUCAUGCCAAUGGCACUGCCCGGUAGCUAAAUGCGGAAGAGAUAAGUGCUGAAAGCAUCUAAGCACGAAACUUGCCCCGAGAUGAGUUCUCCCUG
rnacentral:rRNA from 1 species